GCUUGGAGAAGCUGGUUCUCUCCGAAAUAGCUUUAGGGCUAGCGUCGAUGUUAAGUCUCUUGGAGGUAGAGCACUGUUUGGGUGAGGGGUCCAUCCCGGAUUACCAAUCUCAGAUAAACUCCGAAUGCCAACGAGAUAUAAUCGGCAGUCAGACUGCGAGUGCUAAGAUCCGUAGUCGAAAGGGAAACAGCCCAGACCACCAGCUAAGGUCCCAAAAUAUAUGUUAAGUGGAAAAGGAUGUGGGGUUGCACAGACAACUAGGAUGUUAGCUUAGAAGCAGCUAUUCAUUCAAAGAGUGCGUAAUAGCUCACUAGUCGAGUGACCCUGCGCCGAAAAUGUACCGGGGCUAAAACAUAUUACCGAAGCUGUGGAUGACACAAAAGUGUCAUGGUAGGAGAGCGUUCUAUGUGUGAAGAAGGUGUACCGUGAGGAGCGCUGGAACGCAUAGAAGUGAGAAUGCCGGUAUGAGUAGCGCAAGACAGGUGAGAAUCCUGUCCACCGUAAGACUAAGGUUUCCAGGGGAAGGCUCGUCCGCCCUGGGUUAGUCGGGAYCUAAGGAGAGACCGAAAGGUGUAUCCGAUGGACAACAGGUUGAUAUUCCUGUACUAGAGUAUAUAGUGAUGGAGGGACGCAGUAGGCUAACUAAACCAGACGAUUGGAAGUGUCUGGUCAAACAGUGAGGUGUGAUAUGAGUCMAAUGCUUAUAUCUUUAACAUUGAGCUGUGACGASGAGCGAAGUUUAGUAGCGAAGUUAGUGAUGUCACACUGCCAAGAAAAGCUUCUAGCGAUACAUAUACUCUACCCGUACCGCAAACCGACACAGGUAGUCGAGGCGAGUAGCCUCAGGUGAGCGAGAGAACUCUCGUUAAGGAACUCGGCAAAAUGGCCCCGUAACUUCGGGAGAAGGGGCGCUGAUUUUAGAUCAGCCGCAGUGAAUAGGCCCAAGCAACUGUUUAUCAAAAACACAGCUCUCUGCUAAAUCGUAAGAUGAUGUAUAGGGGGUGACGCCUGCCCGGUGCUGGAAGGUUAAGAGGAGUGCUUAGCGUAAGCGAAGGUAUGAAUUGAAGCCCCAGUAAACGGCGGCCGUAACUAUAACGGUCCUAAGGUAGCGAAAUUCCUUGUCGGGUAAGUUCCGACCCGCACGAAAGGCGUAAUGAUUUGGGCACUGUCUCAACGAGAGACUCGGUGAAAUUUUAGUACCUGUGAAGAUGCAGGUUACCCGCGACAGGACGGAAAGACCCCAUGGAGCUUUACUGCAGUUUGAUAUUGAGUAUCUGUACCACAUGUACAGGAUAGGUAGGAGCCUAUGAUAACGGGACGCCAGUUUCGUUUGAGGCGUUGUUGGGAUACUACCCUUGUGUUAUGGCUACUCUAACCCAGAUAGGCAAUCCCUAUCGGAGACAGUGUCUGACGGGCA
rnacentral:rRNA from 1 species